rnacentral:rRNA from 1 species
AGUGAAGCGGGAAGAGCUCAAAUUUGAAAUCUGGUGGCCUCAGGUCAUCCGAGUUGUAAUCUAUAGAAGUGUUUUCCGUGCUGGCUCAUGUACAAGUCCCUUGGAACAGGGCGUCAUAGAGGGUGAGAAUCCCGUCCUUGACAUGAACUACCAGUGCUCUGUGAUACAUUUUCAACGAGUCGAGUUGUUUGGGAAUGCAGCUCAAAAUGGGUGGUAAAUUCCAUCUAAAGCUAAAUAUUGGCGAGAGACCGAUAGCGAACAAGUACCGUGAGGGAAAGAUGAAAAGCACUUUGGAAAGAGAGUUAAACAGUAUGUGAAAUUGUUGAAAGGGAAACGAUUGAAGUCAGUCGUGCUCUUUGGAUUCAGCCGGUUCUGCCGGUGUACUUCCUUUGAGUGGGGUCAACAUCASUUUUGAUCGCUGGAUAAAGGCUGGAGGAACGUAGUACCCUCGGGUAAACUUAUARCCUCCUGUCACAUACAGUGGUUGGGACUGAGGAACGCASCACGCCUUUAUGGCCGGGAUUCGUCCACGUACGUGCUUAGGAUGUUGACAUAAUGGCUUUAAACKACCCGUCUUG